GUGAACGCUGGCGGUAGGCCUAACACAUGCAAGUCGCACGGCAGCACAGUAAGAGCUUGCUCUUACGGGUGGCGAGUGGCGGACGGGUGAGGAAUACAUCGGAAUCUACUUUUUCGUGGGGGAUAACGUAGGGAAACUUACGCUAAUACCGCAUACGACCUACGGGUGAAAGCAGGGGAUCUUCGGACCUUGCGCGAUUGAAUGAGCCGAUGUCGGAUUAGCUAGUUGGCGGGGUAAAGGCCCACCAAGGCGACGAUCCGUAGCUGGUCUGAGAGGAUGAUCAGCCACACUGGAACUGAGACACGGCCCAGACUCCUACGGGAGGCAGCAGUGGGGAAUAUUGGACAAUGGGCGCAAGCCUGAUCCAGCCAUACCGCGUGGGUGAAGAAGGCCUUCGGGUUGUAAAGCCCUUUUGUUGGGAAAGAAAAGCAGCAGGUUAAUACCCCGCUGUUCUGACGGUACCCAAAGAAUAAGCACCGGCUAACUUCGUG
rnacentral:rRNA from 1 species